rnacentral:lncRNA from 1 species
AGCCAUGUCAUGGAUGAUCUGGCAGCGAUUACGGCGGAGUCUUUGAGAGAGUACGAUCGGGAUUUGUGUCGUAUAUACGUUUGGUCCGUCCGUGCCGUGCCACAGAAAAUUAGAGGCUGGCGAGUAGCGAGUAGCUAGCUCCUUACUCCCUAGCCACGAGACACACACACACAAAAUUACAUAUGGUACUCCAAAGAGGUGAGGACUCCAAGCAUGACACGACCACACACAGCUAGGAGCUUGCUGCCAAGCUCGGAUUGGCGUGGAUGGAUGCUAGCUUGAGCUUGGAUUCAGUGGUAGUACGUACGUAUGGGCAGAUGAACGAGUCGUACGUACUCCACCACUAUGGCUGAUCCCUUCCCGUUGCCGGGAUGGCCGGCGAUGGUCGGAUACGGACGAGAUGGAUAUCCGUCUGAGAUGUCUACCUAUUAUCUUUUCUUGGCUUGGCCCUUCCUUGACGUACUGGUCCAGAUCGUGACCGGCGCACCAGCCCGAGAGAUCGAUCCAUCGAUGUUGACGUGCAUGUGGUCGUAUUUCUUGACUCCACACUCUAUAGAGUAUUCCCUCCGUUUCUAAAUAUAAGUCUUUAUAGAGAUUCCACUAAUAGACUACAUACGGAUGUAUAUAGACAUACUUUAAAGUGUAAAAUCACUUAUUUUGUUUUGUAUGUAGACUUCUAAUGAAAUCUUUUAAAAGACUUAUAUUUAAAACGAAGGGAGUACUAUGUAUGUGGACUACACGAUCGACCAGAGGUAGCCGUUUUAGAGCACCUAC